rnacentral:rRNA from 1 species
ACGUAAGGGGGUAAAAUGACUAUUUCUGUGAGCAAACUCGAGACGAAUAUGAAGCGCAUGGAUACAAGUUAUGCCUUGGAAUGAAAGACAAUUUUGAAUCUGCUUUGUCUACAAACAAUAGAACUUGCUAAUACCCCAUAGGUUGAGGAGCAAAAGAAAGAAUUCGCUCAAGGAGGGGGCUCACAUCUGAUUAGCCAGUUGGUGAGGUAAUAGCUUACCAAGCAAUGAUCAGUAACUAGUCUGAGAGGAUGAUUAGCCACACUGGGACUGAGACACGGUUCAGACUCUUACGGAAGGCAACAAUGGGGAAUUUUUCACAAUGGGCGAAAAGCCUAUGGAGCAAUGCCUCAUGGAGGUAGAAGGCCCGCAGGUCAUGAACUUAUUUUCCCGGAGAAAAAGCAAUGAUGUUAUAUGGGGAAUAAGAAUCGGCUAACUUUGUGCUGACAGUUGCAGUAAAACAAGAAUGCAAGCGUUAUCCUGAAUGAUUGGGAGUAAAGCGUAUGUAGGUGUCUUUUCAAGUCUGCCAUCAAAUCCCAGAGCUCAACCAUGGACAUACAUUGGAAACUACCAAACUGGGCUAUGGUAGGGGCAGAGGAAAAUUUCGGUGGAGUGGUUAAAUGCGUUGAGAUCGGAAAGAACACCAAAUACGAAAACACUCUGCUAGACCAACAUUGACACUGAGAGGCGAAAUCUAGGGGAGCGAAUGGGAUUAGAUACGCCAAUAAGCCUAGCCUUAAACAAUUUAAACUAGACGAUGUGCGUAUUGACUCAUGCAAUGUUGUAGCUAAUGCAUUAAGUAUCCCGCCAGGGAAUUACGUUUGCAAGAAUGAAACUCAAAUGAAUUGAUAGGAGCCCCCACAUGCGGUGGAACACGUGGUUUAAUUUGACACAAAAUGAAGAACCUUACCAAGGCUUGACAUGUUGCGAAUCCUUUUGGAAGAAAUGAGUGCUUUUGGGAAUGCGAAUAUAGGUGGCACAUGGUUGUCGUUAGCUCGUGCCGUAAGGUAUUGGUUUAAGUCCUGCAAUGAGCGCAAUCCUUAUGUUUAGUUGCCAUUGUUGAGUUUGAAACCCUGAACAGACUACCGAUGAUAAGCGGUAUAAUAAAUAUAUACGAACAUAAUGAGUUGCGAGGAAGGGAUGAGGCGAUGCGAGGUAGCACCACAGUGACACUGUUGUUCAUGCUUGCUAUUGGGAAGAAAUCACUUAGGGAGAAUGAGAGAAAAAAAAGGCUUUUACUGGUGGUGUCCCUUAGUAGAUUGAAAAAAGGGAGUCGCAAUAUCAAAGAGUGGGGUCUAACUAGGGGUGAGCAUUUCUGACCUAAAACUCGAACCGAACCAACAACCGGAUCGAUCGGG